rnacentral:lncRNA from 1 species
CUAAGUUCUCAUUGUUGUACCACCGUGUUCAUCAACCAUUUUCUUGCUUUAAAGUCAUUAUUGGCUCUCUUGCCUACCACCUGCUCGAUAAAAGGUGUGUAGUGCAGUCUAAUCUGAACCAAAUUAUGUGCAGUUGAUUUCAUUGAUUUCAUUAUUUCUUCACCGAAUUGUGAUCUAUCUGAGGUGUAUUUGACUGGAAAUGGACUGACCAGAGGUUCCCCAUCAUUGGUAGCAUCCUAGGGAGUGGAGAAUUAGCGGAAACCACAAGGAGUGGAGGCUCUUGGUAUUGUAGAAUUUGUUGUUGCAAAGUGUAACUACUGCAACAGCAGCCUGUGUGGAUACAAAUUCUUGUUAUACGCAUUAAAGCCUCACUUCCAACAACUGUGAGAAUUGUGACUGCACCAAAUUCAAACAAUUUUUUUUUAGAGCAGCCAUAGUUGCAUUGCCAAACCCCUCCCAUCUUUUUUUUCUCUCUAUUGAGAAGCCAGAGUUGCAAUUUUCACUACUUUGUCUUCUGUUUUGUUUUCCAAAUUUUUCCAAUUCUCAUUAGCAUUUGGAAAUACAUUACAUGCAUUGAUUUCAGUUUUGCUUGAAUGAUAUUUGGAAGUGAAAUCUUGAUGCAACUUAGACUUGUGCAUUUACUGAUCAAAGUGCAACUCUUACAGUCAAAUUUAUUUUCAGAACAAAAUUGAGAAAAAUGGUUUUAUUUUUUUCAUUUGGGCAUUAAUUUGGAAUUGUACAGCUAGCAGUUUUCAUACAACACUGUUUUGACCAGUUUGGUUCUCCUUCUCUAGCUGUUCAAGCCAAUGAUUUUGACCAAUUGAAUUCACUAAAAUUUGUUGCAUCAUCUGGACUAGUUGUUGUCCUCGGUGUAAUCUCAUUGUGGAGGAUUAAAAUCUGGUUGGUGAUAAGCUUCAAUAUUCUGGAAUUUGGAAGCAGAGAAGAGAAUCGUGUUAAUGCAGUAAAGCCGACAGAAGAGUUGAAGACUUUGCCCCUGGAACAGUUUGAGAUCUAAGGGUUAUCAUUGGAGAGUAAGAGAGAGUUCUUAGUUGCCUCAAGUGCAUAAGACGAGAUAGGAGGACAAUUAUGUUGCACCGAUUUCAGAAAUUGUCCCAGCAGUUGUACACAAUCCCAUGAUUUCACUAAACCGAGAGCAAAAAGGGAAAAUUCUAAAUUUGUGAUACGGUGUGAUAAUAGCUUUGUUAGCUGCCUACUGAAUUUGGUUUACAUUCUAUGUGCAGUUUUGAAAAGUAAUGGAGAAUAUAUACAGCUGCAACAGAAAACUGAAAAAGGAAAGUGCAACCACAAGCUAGGAAAGACUCCAAAAGUAGCCCAGCACAUGAAUUUGAACAAAAACCACAAUGUGGCAGCAACUGUUCUUAGCUUCCUUUGUAAUUGUAGUAUUCAUUUUUGAAUUGUAAUAGGUUUUUGUGUUAGUUUUCCUUUAUUUGUAAAAGGCCAUUGAAAGUCCAAGAGGAUUGGAAGAGUCCUUGGUGCUCUUUUAAUUCUUGGCAAUUGAUCUUGUUUGGUUGUGCUUGUGUUUAAAUUUGUGUUUUCCGUUUAGGGGUCACAUUAGAGUCCGAAUAUUAGGAGUCUAGUUUGUUUCUUUGUGAGUCCAUGUCCUUUGAUUUUAAAGGUAAUUUUAGUUUAAAGGGAUA